AAUAUGCAAGAUGGCCGCCUCAUUGUGACCAAAAGCAUGCAUGAUUUUCUCAUGCACACAUACAGCAUGUACAGCCUAAAUGGUCGAGUUGUCGACUUCGGAUGAAUUUCAAUACCUGCCGUGUCGCUCCCCAGAGGGACCGAAUGGCGAAUUCAGUUUAAUCUGGUAAUCGAAAGCCCCGGCAGCCUUUCGACCAAACGGCUUCUCGAGGUAAGCGGUGGCAGACAGUCACCCCGGAGGACAUGUGACCAGCGCCUUUAAGGCUUUCUGGUUCUGGUCCCCAUGGUGCGUUUAAAGAUGUGGACCCGUGCCUCGUGAAAGCGACUCCCGAAUUUUAAACACAACACAAAGGAGAAAUCAGAACUCAGGUGGCACUUUCAACUGAGGACGGAGGGGGGGCUGUCAUCAUAAAUCUGGGGGCGGACUGUAAAUCGAGAAUGCCAGAGGCAUUUCUGUUUCCGCUCCCGUCAACCCCUGCAGAGAUGACAGAAUCUGGUGCCCUCAGAUGUCACUGUCACGGGAUCAGCCGAGAACGAGUCACUGUGUGCAAAGUGUGCCGAGUCACGACCAGCAAACUCCAUUAAUGUCCCACUUAUGGCUAAUGCUAACGACACAAGCGCAGGGACAACAUCUGGACAUGCAUUUUACCCACAGAACACAAUGGUGUUAAGUGACAUAGCACGGCCAGAGAUGACAAGAAGUUCUAUACUCCACACAGCGCUGAAGUGGCUCUGGUACUUAUCAACCAAAUGUGAUGCAAAGCAGGGUCAUCUGGCCUUACAGAUGAGUCUGACCUUCUCUGACAAAAGUGUGCUAAAAAUGGUCUUUUCAAGCUCAGUCCACUUACUUCACCACUAUACAGCUCCUCAGUUAAUGAGGUCCCAGAGGGAGUUUUCGGGAAUCCAUGAUUGUCAUUGGAUUAUUUGAAUUGGGUGCCAUCCAGUGGUCAAUUAGAAAACUACAAUUAAGUCAUUCAGUAAAGUUCGUCUUUUUUUUUUUUUAAUUAAUGCCUGAAAGUUUCUUACAAUGUGUUUCCGUUCACCUCAGAUGCCCAAAUAAAUCCCAUCUGAUUAUUCGAAAUUCCA